rnacentral:lncRNA from 1 species
AAAAGUUGUGCAGCAGGUACAGUUUUUCGUGUCAGGAAAUUUUAUCAAGCAAUUAUAUGUAAUUUCUUUUAACAUUAUUACAAAUAUAUAAAACAAGUUUAAAACUACAACAUUUAAUGUGCUGCACAGUAAUAGUAUACAGUCAUAGUAGUAGUAUACAGUAGAUAGUCAUUUGCACUAUGACCAAUUUAUUCAUGAGACCUUUAAUUGAAAGCAUUGCUACAAAACACAUUUCCCGAAUCAGAAAUAACUAAGUCUAAUCGUAGCCUCUGUGUCCACAUCAUUAUACAGCAAGAUAUUUUCCUUCAUGCCAAAACUUUCCCUGACUCCAAGGUGAUAAAAUAAUGCAGAUUGUUGCAAUUUGAUACUUAAAUCUACAACUGCUACAUCAGCAUUAUAGAAAGUAUCCAAGACAUUAGUCUCGCCAAAAUCAAGUUUCUCAAACUGUAAAAAGUACAUACAAUAUUAUAAAAAGAAACACAGAGUGCUUGUCUAACCUCAUCCAGCGCUCUCUUUCGCUGGGCAAGAUGUUCUGGUUGUUGCAAAUCCAAUACACAAGCUACAUCCAUUCUCGGUCUUCCUGUCACGGUGGUGUGUCCUGAUAUGUCACUCUGUGUCCCAAUACUGUCUGUACUGGAAAUACCUUCCAUGAUACCUGAUUGUGAAGCAGCUGCACACGAUUGUUAUUAUACUGAAAAUGGCAGAGACAGCGACAGGAUUUACAUCUCGACGCAGAAAAAUAAAUUUCGAAGAAGACUAAGUGAAACAGAAUAAUUACCUCGAAAAACGAUAAUAAAUUCGAAUCUCGAAGCACCAUCGGGAGACCGCAGCUGAGAGUCAGAGAAGAGAAUCAUUCGGAGGAGACCACGUGGCGUUCAGUGGCGAAGCUGAGCGCGCGUCGCGUUCGUAUGUACGCGGUUUGCGAGUGCGUGAAGAAUAGUGGGGCGCAGUGAUGCGCGGAGCGGCCACUCCGCAGCGCUCCCCUUUCAAGAGGAGUGCAUAAGACGAUUGGAGGCCAGCCGGGGGACGCCGUGGAGAGCCGCUGAGACGCGGGGAGAUGAUGCGAGUAACCUCCUCGUCGCGCUGCUAUCCUACGCCAGGGGGUCCCCGAGAACUGGCCUGCCCCACGACCGACGUGAAACCACGUCAUUGCGCACGUGGAGCAGCACCGCAUGAGCCAGCCGACACGCUGCUCGAAACUACUGAGGUUUUCGUCGGUGGCGUUUGCUCGGAACGGUUCGUCGCUCGGCGGAUACGAGCGAGGAGAAAAAGCAACAGAGAACGCAAUUUCGGAUCGGCGGAAGGUAGUCUAUCUUAGGCGAGAUACUCGCCUGAUCCUCGGGGAGCCUCGCGGUGUAGAAACCGGUCAAGGAAUGCGUGUAACGCGUGUACGUACACGUCACGCCCACUCGUCGUGCCUGUCACGUACGAGGCCCAUAUCGUCGCAUACGUUGCCCAUCACCUGUGCACGUACGUACAUCGAUAUGUACAUACGACGAGCGAUUUUCACGUUUGCGACGUCGUCGGUUGCGCGACACGCGCGCGUGCGGAGACGUGUACGUGUCCUAGCGGUUCGCCAGGCGCGCUGUGUUCACCGACACCGACAGAAACCACAGUAGAGGAGCGAUUCAGUCGGCAGCUGAGCGAGAGUUGCCAGGAAACUAGCAAGAGCGACAAGAUCCACUUGAGGAAUUUCGUGGUAAGAAUAGCCAGCCGUUCGAGCCGCUGGAGCAGACGCCUGGAAGACAGCCAUUGUGUGUCGACCAGCCAUUUUUCUCGUUGUCUGGCGGUUACUCUGACGGUAAACUUCGAGAAUAAAUUCGAGAAUAAAAAAGGCUUUCUCGGCGAAUUGUGUUUCUUGGAGGUGCAACUAACUGCGGAAGUCGUGCUUUUUGGCUAAUUUGAAGAUGAGUUCGACAGGAUGCUGACUUUGAGGCAUCGAGAU